GAAGCGGAUUUCGCUAUUAGAUGAGCCUAUGUUAGAUUAGCUAGUUGGUAGGGUAAAGGCCUACCAAGGCGAUGAUCUAUAGCUGGUCUGAGAGGAUGAUCAGCCACACUGGAACUGAGAUACGGUCCAGACUCCUACGGGAGGCAGCAGUGGGGAAUAUUGGACAAUGGGCGCAAGCCUGAUCCAGCUAUGCCGCGUGAGUGAGGAAGGCCCUAGGGUUGUAAAACUCUUUCAG
rnacentral:rRNA from 1 species